UAGAGCACUAGCUGGGACGUAAGUGUGUCCAUAGCAUACGGCAUUUGGCCGUUUCAAUGGGUAGUCGUUUGGCAUGGUAGACGUCAGGUCGUCAACGCACCGUAAUUGUAACGCCAGUGCUACAUGAGCAUCUGCAAGUCUACAGGGCGUCAUACUCGUUGACAUUACCGACGACACCUCGUUAUAAGGCGUACUACGGGGAACCGUUCGCACCGGUAUACGACCGGUCACGUAAACGUCAUCAGUUCGUUCUACUUCCGGGCAAAGUCUGCUCGGCGUUUGACAACGUUCUACUUCCGGGCAUAGUCUGUUCGGUGUUUGACAGUAUACUACUGCCGGGCUUGAUACAGCUUGGAUAUCGCAGUUUUCUUCCGGGCAUAGUCUGCUCGGGUAUGUACAGUCUACUUCCGGGCUUGAUACAGCUCAGGUAUCUACAGUCUACUUUGGGGUUUAAUAUAGCUCGGGUUAUCUGCAUUCUACUUUCGGGUUUGAUACAGCUCGAAGUUUGCUACUCCGCAGAGCACUACAAAUGGUGCUUAGUUCCGGUUCUGGUCAUUGACGGCCGGACAUAGGUUCAGGUCGCACCACUACAUAUAAAAUAUUCAGUUGAACUACGUUAACUGGCCAUUAACUUUGAUACUUUGUUGGUUUAUUUCUUUUGAUAGUCAUAUCAUAUUGUAAAUAGAUUAUUUUAAUGUUGUAAAUAAAUUUAUUUAUUGUUCUUGUGUAAUUGUAUCUGGUUCCUGAGGGGUUAUUGCGUUGUGUUAGCACAGCUUCUGCAAUCCUGACUGUUACACUUGUGCGGCAUCUUACCAGGAUAUCGUGACAAUGCUCUGAAUGCUUCAAACAUGAUGCUAUACGUCUGAAUCGCUGAAUUCAAGGGCGCGGUGUUUCUCUUGUUUCAUAACAUAAGGUUGUUGCUUCGAUUUCAUCAUACCGAUAAGUAGUUAAAUGGUAUAUUAUUACUGAAAUGUGCUUUAAUGUGUUUGACGAAAAGUUAUGAGAUUGAGCGCUCUUAAAAACCGGUUUAAACCCCAAGUGCUUUGCAUUGACCGUUCCAAAGCGAUAACCCCAUGUUUAUUAUUCUAUGUGUGUAUGUUGUUUCGUAUUGUGCUUUUUCUUACUGUUUUGGCAAUAGAUCAUGUGCCUUAAAUUAAGGACCAACACAUUGUAUAUUAUGAGAAAGCAAUACGGCUCCAGCAGCUGGAGAUUCACUUCUGUACAUGUUAUGAAGAUAUGAAAUUAUGUGUGUAUACUUAAUGUUUUGUUGGAAUCUCUUGUAAAAUGUGAGUUAGUUUUUUAAAGUCCAUUAACGUAAUAAAAAACUCCACAGGCUUGAA